UUAUGUUUGGUCACGUUUCAUUAACACGGUUGCGGUCGCGCGUUUUACGCGCAUCUCGCGGGUAUCGUUGACGUGCAAAACCAUUCUUCUUCCUGCACAACCACCGCCACCGAUUCCCUGUGCGAAAAACCUUAGUCUAUCCUGACAAAAACAACUCGGCUGGCAAAAUUGACAACAUUAAUACAUUAUAACCGCGCUACCGUUGGCGCUAUUUUUUCCCCGUAUCAACGAUUACUCUCACGCCAUCCAAUAAAGCACGACGUAUAGUGAUGACGUGGUAUUAUAGUUUUAAAAAUUAGUCGACAAUAAUUGUUAUGUCCAUCAAUUAAUCAGAGAAACUUGAGAAAUCUCACAUUUCGUAGGAACUUGAUUUAUGUUAUUUCAAAUGGAAAAAUUCAAAAUGUAUUAAUAAUCAAGCAUGCUGUUUCAAGUAGGUACCCACUCAAAGAUAUAUAUGUAUAUAUAGUUUCUUGAAUCGUUAAAAAUACGUAUUCCCACAAAAUGGCUUUGUUUCAAUAUAAUACUACAACGGUCAACGACACAUUGAAAUCGUGUGAAUGCAUUGAUAAUAUGGUUACAAGUGAUAAUUGUGUUCACGGAUCAACGACCAAAUUACGAUAUACGAUCAUUCCUCUCGUUGUCCGCAAUUGUCCUAAAAUUUAUUAAAAUGACAAUGGUUGAUGACGGUAAACUGCUAUUUUUUUUUUAU